CUGCAGCUGGUUAAGCCGAGUCACCGACCUCCCUGAUGGGGGCUCAGUGUGCAGCGGCUGCAAAAAGCAGAUUCCUGGUUGUGUGUACAGCUCAUUCCUUUUCUGUGUUGCUCUAAGGCACCUUGCAGACGUUG